UAUUUAUUAAUAUAUUAUAAAUAUAAAGUUUUAUUUUGGCUUAUAAUUUUAUUAUUAAUUUAAUUUAUAUGUAAAUUUUUGUGUAAAAUUUUGGUUAUUUAAAUAAUAAUUUAAUUUUAUUAUUUUCGCAAUAAUUAGUAUUAUUAAUUAAAGAAAUUUUGAAAUAGUAAUAUUAAAAAGUAUUGACUAAAUUUGUGCCAGCAGUCGCGGUUAUACAAAUAAUGCAAAUAAUUUUUAUUAGAUAAAGUUAAAUUAAAAUUUAAUUAAUUAUAAUUUAAUUUAUUAGGUGAAAUUUUAAAUUUUAAAAAAUUUUUAUUAUAUUAAUUGAAGCUUAGAAACUUUUAUAAUAAACUAGGAUUAGAUACCCUAUUAUUUAAAGUGUAAAUAUAAAAUUUUAGGUAGUAAUAGAUAUGUUCUUGAAACUUAAAAAAUUUGGCGGUAUUUUAGUCUAUUCAGAGGAACCUGUUUUGUAAUUGAUAAUCCACAUUGGACCUUACUUAAAUUUGUUAUCAGUUUAUAUACCGUUGUUAUUAGAAUAUUUUAUAAGAAUGAUAAUUUUCAUAAUUUUAAAAAUUAAAGUAUAUCAGAUCAAGGUGUAGCUUAUAUUUAAGUAAAAAUGGGUUACAAUAAAAUUAUUUAUACGAAUAUAAAUUUGAAAUAUUUAUUGAAGGUGGAUUUGAUAGUAAAAUUAUAUAGAUUAAUAAUUUGAUUUUAGCUCUAAAAUAUGUACAUAUCGCCCGUCACUCUUACUAUUAAGAUAAGAUAAGUCGUAACAUAGUAGAUGUA
rnacentral:ncRNA from 1 species